GCAAAGGGACUCAAAUAUCUGCAGUUAAAGGAAAAGGAAAAUGAGUCAGAAAAGGUAUUAAAAGAAUUUGAAGAGAGUUUUGGUUUGAGAAGAAUAGCAUUUUGGAAUAGCAGAAGAUUCCUGGGAUCAAGGCAAAGAUGACAUCCAAAGAAAGAAUUCAUGUCAGGAAACCUGGGAAGAAGAAUGUACCAGAGAAGUGAGAUGAAAGGAGGAAAGAUUCAAAUACAAAAGGACUUCAAAUCACAGUUUCUGACUUUGAAGAUGGAAGAAGGGAACCAUAAGCCAAGAAAUGUAGGGGCCUCUAGAAGCCAGGAAAGGCCCUCAAUGGAUAACUGCAAUAAAAAAGGAGACCUCAGUCCUAAAAUCACAAGGAAUUGAAUUCUGCCAACAGCCCAAAGGAGCAAGAAAAUGAAUCUUGUCCUAGAGCCUACAAAAGGAAUGCAGGUGCCCUGCCAAUGCCUUGAUUUUAGCCCAGUGAAAUUCAUGCCAGACUACAGAACUGUAAGAUAAUACACUUGUGAUGUUUUAAGCCACUAAGUUUGUGGAAAACUGUCACAGAAGCCAUAGAAAACUACUAUACCUUUUAAAUCAAAUUCUAUGAUUCUCAGUCUAGUAGGAUAUGACAGAAAAAUGAAGUCAGACUUUUUCCUCAAGAACUGUUUUAUCUUCAGUUGCUUUAACGAUCACGUUUUCCUACUAUGGUGCUGAUUAGUUUUUUGGUAAGAUUCUUGAUCACAGAAGAUAUCAAAUACACAGACUGAAGUUCAACACUUAUUUUGAAGCUAGAAAAUAAAAAUAUAUAUACAUUCUUGGAAUAAUCUAUUGCAUACAUACAGUAUGAAAAAAAUGAAGUAACUUCAUAAAACAGUAUCCAUUUGUAAAAUUCACUAGAGAAUUCCAGUGUAUUUCCAUGGAACUAUGCAUUGUCAAGUUUUUAAUUAGUCACACUAAUUUCCCCCUUUGGUGUUAACUAUCAAAGCAUACUCAAAUCUUCCUCAUUGGCAUUACACAUUGGAGUUGCUCAAUAAAUGUAUGUUGGACUUCAGUGUGGUGUUCUGCUAAGUACUUAAAAUUCAAUAGGGAAAAAUAAUCACAAGAAUUUCUGUUAGGAGUUUGAGAUAAUUUGGUGG
rnacentral:lncRNA from 10 species